rnacentral:rRNA from 1 species
CAGCAGCAGCCACGGUAAUACAGAGGGUGCGAGCGUUAAUCGGAUUUACUGGGCGUAAAGCGUGCGUAGGCGGCUUCUUAAGUCGGAUGUGAAAUCCCUGAGCUUAACUUAGGAAUUGCAUUCGAUACUGGGAAGCUAGAGUAUGGGAGAGGAUGGUAGAAUUCCAGGUGUAGCGGUGAAAUGCGUAGAGAUCUGGAGGAAUACCGAUGGCGAAGGCAGCCAUCUGGCCUAAUACUGACGCUGAGGUACGAAAGCAUGGGGAGCAAACAGGAUUAGAUACCCCCGUAGUCCCUGUCUCUUAUAC